UACAGGGGGUGCAAGCGUUGUUCGGAAUCAUUGGGCGUAAAGCGCACGCAGGCGGUCUGUUAUGUCGGAUGUGAAAGCCCUUGGCUCAACUGAGGAAGUGCAUCCGAAACUGGCAGGCUAGAGUACGAAAGAGGAUCGAGGAAUUCCCGGUGUAGAGGUGAAAUUCGUAGAUAUCAGGAAGAACACCCGUGGCGAAGGCGGCUCUCUGGGACGGUACUGACGCUGAGACGCGAAAGCGUGGGGAGCGAACAGG
rnacentral:rRNA from 1 species